GGAGGCGUACUCAAGUGGUCAAGAGGCUCGCUUGGAAAGCGGGUAGGUGGCCGAAAGGCUACGCGUGGGUUCGAAUCCCACCGCCUCCU
rnacentral:tRNA from 1 species